AGCGCAGGCGGCCAGAUUAGUCUAAAGUGAAAGCCCGGGGCUUAACUCCGGAAGUGCUUUGGAUACUGUCUGGCUCGAGUUCGUGAGAGGAAAGCGGAAUUCCAGGUGUAGCGGUGAAAUGCGUAGAUAUCUGGAGGAACACCGGUGGCGAAAGCGGCUUUCUGGCACGAUACUGACGCUGAGGCUCGAAAGCAUGGGGAGCGAACGG
rnacentral:rRNA from 1 species